rnacentral:miRNA from 1 species
CUCUUCAAAUAAAUCGUGGGA